rnacentral:rRNA from 1 species
GUGUCAGCAGCCGCGGUAAGACGUAGGUGGCGAACGUUAUCCGGAAUUAUUGGGCGUAAAGGGUGCGUAGGCGGCAUGAUAAGUUAUUGGCGGCAAAUCGAGGCUCAACCUCGUGGAAACUGAUAAUACUGUCUUGCUUGAGUGCAGAAGAGGUUAACGGAACUCCAUGUGGAGCGGUAAAAUGUGUAGAUAUAUGGAAGAACAUCAAUAACGGCGAAGGCAGUUAACUAUUCUGUUACUGACGUUGAGGCACGAAAGCGUGGGGAGCAAAAAGGAUUAGAUACCCCCGUAGUCC